GCGUUUCUCAUCUCCCGUGAGUGCGUCUGCCCUCCGUAGUAGCUGAAUAUUGUCCCCCUCAAAUUCAUAUUGCCUGGAGCUUCAAAGGUGAUCUCAUUCGGAAACAGGUCUUUGUUGAUCUCAUAAUGGUAAGGAUGGGGACGAGGCCAUCCUGGAUUUGAGGGGCCUCAAGUCCAGUGAGAGUGUCCUUGUAAGAGACAGAAAGGACAGACACCCGGAUGGGGGCGGGCAUACGAAAGCGGAGGAGGUCGCGAGUGGUCAAGAAACACCAGGGAUUCGGGGCCGCCAGACGCAGGAAGGGGCAGGGAAGGGCCCUCCCCCAGAGCCUCCAGAGGGAGUGUGGGAUUUUGUUCUUCUGCCCUCCAGGCCUCUAAGUUUUUGUCAGGCCCCGGGGUUUUGGUUUCUAGAUCAAUACGCCUCCCCACGCCACACUCCUCCAGCCCUCCCGUGAGCCACCAGCCCAGGAAGCCUGUGGUCAUGGUCAGGCCACGGAACUACGGAACAGCCUCCUGCUGCCCAGGAAGGUCCAAGGUCCUGGAUCUGAGAUUACAGGUGCUCUGGAGUAGUGAAGGCGUCAGCAGCUGCGUCCAGG
rnacentral:lncRNA from 1 species